CAACAGCCCAUGAUUGCAUUAUGGGUGCGCCAAUUGAAUGCCCGAAGCAUCAGCUCCCCAGGUGCCUCCAUUGUCCCGCUGUGAUCUCCGAUGCACUCCUCUUUCUGAUUGCCUGCGGUAAAUACAUCAUGUUGUGGCUCAGCAAUUACUGGCCAAGAUGGGACAUCGCUACUGCCAAUGAUUGCUGUGAUGCAGCAUGGCGUAUUGACUACCCGGGUGGAAGGGGAGUACCUCUUUAAGAACCUCACAGACUGGCCCCUGAACUUUGCGCACUACAACACCAUAGCCAGAAUACAGGGCUGUGUGCACAUCAA